rnacentral:misc_RNA from 1 species
GAUGAAGAACGUAGCGAAAUGCGAUAAGUAGUGUGAAUUGCAGAAUUCAGUGAAUCAUCGAAUCUUUGAACGCACAUUGCGCCCCUUGGUAUUCCAUGGGGCAUGCCUGUUCGAGCGUCAUUUGUACCUUCAAGCUUUGCUUGGUGUUGGGUGUUUGUCCAUUCUCUUGCAGAGGGACUCGCCUUAAAGUAAUUGGCAGCCAGUGUUUUGGUUUUGAAGCGCAGCACAAGUCGCGAUUCAAAGCUAUACGCCCGCUUACACAAGCCUUUUUCACUUUUGACCUCGGAUCAGGUAGGGAUACCCGCUGAACUUAAGCAUAUCAAUAAGCGGAGGA